AAGUUAUUGGACAAGCCAUUGCCGAUAUCCAUCUCAGAAUACAAGAACCAUCCGCUGUACGCACUAAAGAGGCACCUGCUAAAAUACGAGGCCAUCUACCCCGCUACAGCCGCUGUCCUGGGGUACUGCAGAGGAGAGCCAGUUUAUUCACGAGAGUGUGCACACACUCCAUUCUAGAGAUACCUGGCUGAAGGAAGCAAGAACUGUUCGACUUGGAGAGGAGCCGUACAAGGAUGAUGUCCGAGCAGAAAGAUGUCAAAGAUCUGCCUCUCUUGGGAGUCUGGCAAACUGAAGAGUACCAGCCUCCGAUCG